rnacentral:lncRNA from 1 species
AAUUACUUAACAUUAAAGUAUAUGGAAAUAUCACUCAUAGAUAAAAUGCUAGGAUCAUAUAUGAUCAUUUGGAUACUUAUAAAACAUACACAUAAAGGAGAACUGAUUAAGGUGGGUUACCCAAUAUCACGUAUCACAACUUCAUAACAUAGAGUUAUCCUAAUCAAAGUGUUUUGCAGCGGAAAACGUGUGAGAUAUACAUAUAAAGAUGUAUACUCAAGGUUACAUUUCUUGAAAUGAUCAAAGGAACACCCGCUCAACACCAUUCCAUUCCAUCAGCUGCUCAACCUGCACAUUUAGAAAUACAUGCAGGGCUGAGUAUAAAAAUACUCAGUGGACAUAUGCCGAAAAUACAACAUGCAUACAUAUAUAAAUUGAACUGCCAUAACAGUAACACACAGGGCUUUUCUUGAAAGACCUGCGCUUACUAAAACAUUUCUUUCAUUUUCAUAAGAU